rnacentral:rRNA from 1 species
UACGUAGGGUGCAAGCGUUAAUCGGAAUUACUGGGCGUAAAGCGUGCGCAGGCGGUUGUGCAAGACAGAUGUGAAAUCCCCGGGCUCAACCUGGGACCUGCAUUUGUGACUGCAUCGCUAGAGUACGGCAGAGGGGGAUGGAAUUCCGCGUGUAGCAGUGAAAUGCGUAGAUAUGCGGAGGAACACCGAUGGCGAAGGCAAUCCCCUGGGCCUGUACUGACGCUCAUGCACGAAAGCGUGGGGAGCAAACAGG